AUUUAAUUAUAUAUCUGUGGAAGUGAGGUUUGAUUCCUCCACUGUGCCGCAACGGUAAACCCAUGCAAUUGGCUUGGGAAGUCCGAUCUUCAGAUAUAGGCCCUAUAAACAUAGGGUUC
rnacentral:sRNA from 2 species